GGGCAGUGAUGAGGAAUAGAGAAAGUCAUGCACCACUCUGACGAUUUUUCAAAUCGAUCUGUGCUGAUAAAUUUUCUCAUACCCAUAACAUUCUCUGAGCUC